rnacentral:rRNA from 1 species
CCUACGGGACGCAGCAGUGAGGGAUAUUGGUCAAUGGGGGAAACCCUGAACCAGCAACGCCGCGUGAGGGAAGACGGUUUUCGGAUUGUAAACCUCUGUCCUCUGUGAAGAUGAUGACGGUAGCAGAGGAGGAAGCUCCGGCUAACUACGUGCCAGCAGCCGCGGUAAUACGUAGGGAGCAAGCGUUGUCCGGAUUUACUGGGUGUAAAGGGAGCGUAGGCGGCGAUGCAAGUCAGAAGUGAAAGCCCGGGGCUCAACUCCGGGACUGCUUUUGAAACUGUGUUGCUAGAUUGCAGGAGAGGUAA